GGAGAGAUGGCUGAAUGGGUUGAUAGCCCCGGUCUUGAAAACCGGUAUAGUUCUUAACAAGGAACUAUCG
rnacentral:tRNA from 3 species